UCACUUGAGCAGUACAUAUACUAAAAUUGGAAUGAUACAGAGAAGAUUAGCAUAGCUCCUGCACAAGGAUCACACAAUGUUUUUCUUUU
ensembl:snRNA U6 U6 spliceosomal RNA